AACUUAACCAUUUUCGAGCAUCUAAGUGUCAAAACAAAACCACAUUCCAAAAUAAAAAUCCAUUUUAAAGUCCCUAAACUUAACCAUUUUCAACCAACCAAGUCACCUAACCAAACCACAUUCCAAAACAAAAAUCACUUCUAAAGUCCGUAAACUUAACCAUUUUCGAGAAUCAAAGUGUCAAAACAAAACCACAUUCAAAAAUAAAAAUCCCUUUUAAAGUCCCUAAACUUAACCAUUUCCAACCAACCAAGUCACCUAACAAAACCACAUUCCAAAAUAAAAAUCUCUUCUAAAGUUCUUAAACUUAACCAUUUUCGAGCAUCUAAGCGUCAAAAUAAAACCACAUUCCAAAACAAAAAUCCCUUUUAAAGUCCCUUAACUUAACCAUUUUCAACCAACCAAGUCACCCAACAAAACCACAUUCCAAAAUAAAAAUCUCCUCUAAAGUCCAUAAACUUAACCAUUUCCGAGCAUCUAAGUGUCAAAACAAAACCACAUUCCAAAACAAAAAUCCCUUCUAAAGUUCACAAAUUGAACCAUUUUCGAGCAUCUAAGUGUCAAAACGAAACAACAUUCCAUAUCAAAAAUCUCUUUUAUAGACCCUAAACCUAACACUUUUUAACCAAGUGUCAAAACAAAACCACAUUCCAAAACAAAAAUCCCUUCUAAAGUCCCUAAACUUAACAAUUUUCAACCAACCAAGUCACCUAACAAAACCACAUUCCAAAACAAAAUACCCUUCAAAAGUCCCUAAACUUAACCAUUUUGGAGCAUCUCUGUGUCAAAACAAAAUUUCAUUACAAAAAAAAAUCCCUUCUAAAGUCCGUAAACUUAACCAUUUUCGAGCAUCUAAGUGUCAAAAUAAAAUCACAUUUCAGAACAAAAAUCUCUUUUAAAGUCUCUAAACCUAACACUUUUUAUCCAAGUGUCAAAACAAAACCACAUUCCAAAACAAAAAUCCCUUCUAAAGUCCCUAAACUUAACCAUUUUCAACCAACCAAGUCACCUAACAAAACCCUAUUCCAAAACAUAAUCCCCUUCUAAAGUCCCUAAACUUAACCAUUUUCGAGCAUCUAAGUGUCAAAACAAAACCACAUUCCAAAACAAAAAAUUAUUUUAAAGUCCCUAAACUUAACCAUUUUCAACCAACCAAGUCACCUAACAAAACCCUAUUCCAAAACAUAAUCCCCUUCUAAAGUCCCUAAACUUAACCAUUUUCGAGCAUCUAAGUGUCAAAACAAAACCACAUUCCAAAAAGAAAUCCCUUCUAAAGUCCGUACACUUAACCAUUAUCGAGCAUCCAAGUGUCAAAACAAAAUCACAUUCCAAAACAAAAAUCUCUUUUAAAGUCCCUAAACCUAACACUUUUUUUCCAAGUAUCAUAACAAAAGCACAUUUCCAAACAAAAAUCCCUUCUAAAGUCCCUAAACUUAACCAUUUUCAACCAACCAAGUCACCAAACAAAACCACAUUCCAAAACAUAAUGCCUUUCUAAAGUCCCUAAACUUAACCAUUUUCGAGCAUCUAAGUGUCAAAAGAAAAUCACAUUCCAAAACAAAAAUCCAUUUUAAAAUUCCUAAACUUAACCAUUUUCUACCAACCAAGUCACCUAACAAAACCACAUUCCAAAACAAAAUCUCCUUCUAAAGUCCCUAAACUUAACCAUUUUCGAGCAUCUAUGUGUCAAAACAAAACCACAUUCUAAAACCAAAAUCCAUUUUAAAGUUCCUAAACUUAACCAUUUUCAACCGACCAAGUCACCUAACAAAAUCACAUUCCAAAACAAAAUCCCCUUCUAAAAUCCCUAAACUUAACCAUUUUCGAGCAUCUAAGUAUCAAAACAAAACCACAUUCCAAAACAAAAAUCCAUUUUAAAAUCCCUAAACUUAACUAUUUUCAACCAACUAAGUCGCCUAACAAAACCACAUUACAAAACAAAAUCCCCUUCUAAAGUCCCUAAACUUAACCAUUUUCAAGCAUCUAAGUGUCAAAACGAAACCACAUUCCGAAAUAAAAAUCCAUUUUAAAGUCCCCUAAACUUAACCAUUUUCAAUCAACCACGUCAC
rnacentral:lncRNA from 1 species